rnacentral:sRNA from 1 species
GGGGACGAUUUUGGAUUCGACAAGAUUCGCGAAACCCUAGGAGCAUGCCGAGGGGCGGUUGGCCUCGUAAAAAGCCGCAUUGUUAUAGUUGCAAACGACGAUAACUACGCUCUAGCAGCUUAGGCUCGCUAGCCAUCACCCACAAGUCUUUCGCAUGGGCAGUGGAUUCGAUGGUCACCCUACAUCGCGAUAGCGAGGGAUACCCGCCUGGGGUUGAACCGCGAAACAGUACCAGGCUCGCCAAUGUUAAUCCUGUUUGUCGGAGUGCCAUUGGUUAACCAAUAGACAAACUAAGCAUGUAGCGCCGAGGAUGUAGGUUUUUUGGACGCGGGUUCGAGCCCCGCCGUCUCCACCA